rnacentral:rRNA from 1 species
CACGUAGGGCGCGAGCGUUGUCCGGAAUUAUUGGGCGUAAAGAGCUCGUAGGCGGCCUGUUGCGUCCGCUGUGAAAGCCCGGGGCUUAACCCCGGGUCGGCAGUGGAUACGGGCAGGCUAGAGGUAGGUAGGGGAGAAUGGAAUUCCCGGUGUAGCGGUGAAAUGCGCAGAUAUCGGGAGGAACACCGGUGGCGAAGGCGGUUCUCUGGGCCUUACCUGACGCUGAGGAGCGAAGGCGUGGGAGCGAACAGG